rnacentral:rRNA from 1 species
UGCGUAGGUGGCGCCGUAAGUCGGAUGUGAAAUUUUCGGAGCUUAACUUCGAAACUGCAUUCGAUACCGCGGUGCUUGAGGACUGGAGAGGAGACUGGAAUUCAUGGUGUAGCAGUGAAAUGCGUAGAGAUCAUGAGGAAGACCAGUGGCGAAGGCGGGUCUCUGGACAGUUCCUGACACUGAGGCACGAAAGGCCAGGGGAGCAAACG